rnacentral:rRNA from 1 species
CUUGACAUCCAGCGAAUUCGGUAGAGAUACCUUAGUGCCUUCGGGAACGCUGAGACAGGUGCUGCAUGGCUGUCGUCAGCUCGUGUUGUGAAAUGUUGGGUUAAGUCCCGCAACGAGCGCAACCCUUUAUCCUUUGUUGCCAGCGGUCCGGCCGGGAACUCAAAGGAGACUGCCAGUGAUAAACUGGAGGAAGGUGGGGAUGACGUCAAGUCAUCAUGGCCCUUACGAGUAGGGCUACACACGUGCUACAAUGGCGCAUACAAAGAGAAGCGACCUCGCGAGAGCAAGCGGACCUCAUAAAGUGCGUCGUAGUCCGGAUUGGAGUCUGCAACUCGACUCCAUGAAGUCGGAAUCGCUAGUAAUCGUAGAUCAGAAUGCUACGGUGAAUACGUUCCCGGGCCUUGUACACACCGCCCGUCACACCAUGGGAGUGGGUUGCAAAAGAAGUAGGUAGCUUAACCUUCGGGAGGGCGCUUACCACUUUGUGAUUCAUGACUGGGGUGAAGUCGUAACAAGGUAAGCGUACGUGU